UACGAAGGGGGCUAGCGUUGUUCGGAAUCACUGGGCGUAAAGCACACGUAGGCGGAUCUUUAAGUCAGGGGUGAAAUCCUGGAGCUCAACUCCAGAACUGCCUUUGAUACUGGCAACCUUGAGUCCGGGAGAGGUGAGUGGAACUGCGAGUGUAGAGGUGAAAUUCGUAGAUAUUCGCAAGAACACCAGUGGCGAAGGCGGCUCACUGGCCCGGUACUGACGCUGAGGUGCGAAAGCGUGGGGAGCAAACAGG
rnacentral:rRNA from 1 species